GGUUUGACCGCAACCUAGAGCUGUUCAAACUUAUGAAUGAUUAAUUUGCACUAUUGAAUACCGUGGUCCCGGUAAUACAAAUGUCUUCGUCCAACCACAAAAUGUUCCAAUUAGAAAUAGAAAUACUCGUCAACAUUAAUUGAAACAGUGGAUUCUCAAUUAUCUAUACACUACGGAACAUUUGUGGAUUGAAGGUUUCGGCGGAUACACUCUACUCGAAGUUCUUAUGCCCGACAUGUCACAUCCAGCUGAGGGAUGCUUAUAACCUGUAACUAAUGGCUCAACGGUGCGAAGCAAAAUUUGUCUUUAAUAUCGAAAUCGGAACCAUACAUUAUGGACGACGAUGUUGACAUGAACCUGGGUGACGGCGGAGGUGUGGCCCCAACGAUCUCGCAUCAAACGAAUGACUAGUUCACCAAUACGGAUUUUGAAACUGAGCAAGAAACUUUACUUUUAUUUUAUUUAAAUGACCAGGUGC